UAGCUAGUUGGUGAGGUAAAGGCUUACCAAGGCGACGAUCUGUAGCGGGUCUGAGAGGAUGAUCCGCCACACUGGAACUGAGACACGGUCCAGACUCCUACGGGAGGCAGCAGUGGGGAAUUUUGGACAAUGGGGCAACCCUGAUCCAGCCAUGCCGCGUGAGUGAAGAAGGCCUUCGGGUUGUAAAGCUCUUUCGGCCGGGAAGAAAUCGCAUAGGCCAAUACCCUGUGUGGAUGACGGUACCGGAAUAAGAAGCACCGGCUAACUACGUGCCAGCAGCCGCGGUAAUACGUAGGGUGCGAGCGUUAAUCGGAAUUACUGGGCGUAAAGCGUGCGCAGGCGGUUUUGUAAGACAGGCGUGAAAUCCCCGGGCUUAACCUGGGAACUGCGUUUGUGACUGCAAGGCUAGAGUACGGCAGAGGGGGGUGGAAUUCCACGUGUAGCAGUGAAAUGCGUAGAGAUGUGGAGGAACACCAAUGGCGAAGGCAGCCCCCUGGGUCGAUACUGACGCUCAUGCACGAAAGCGUGGGUAGCAAACAGGAUUAGAUACCCUGGUAGUCCACGCCCUAAACUAUGUCAACUAGGUGUUGGGUGGGUAAAACCAUUUAGUACCGUAGCUAACGCGUGAAGUUGACCGCCUGGGGAGUACGGCCGCAAGGUUAAAACUCAAAGGAAUUGACGGGGACCCGCACAAGCGGUGGAUGAUGUGGAUUAAUUCGAUGCAACGCGAAAAACCUUACCUACCCUUGACAUGCCAGGAACGUGCCAGAGAUGGCUUGGUGCCCGAAAGGGAGCCUGGACACAGGUGCUGCAUGGCUGUCGUCAGCUCGUGUCGUGAGAUGUUGGGUUAAGUCCCGCAACGAGCGCAACCCUUGUCGUUAAUUGCCAUCAUUUGGUUGGGCACUUUAACGAGACUGCCGGUGACAAACCGGAGGAAGGUGGGGAUGACGUCAAGUCCUCAUGGCCCUUAUGGGUAGGGCUUCACACGUCAUACAAUGGUCGGUACAAAGGGUUGCCAAGCCGCGAGGCGGAGCCAAUCCCAAAAAGCCGAUCGUAGUCCGGAUUGCAGGCUGCAACUCGCCUGCGUGAAGUCGGAAUCGCUAGUAAUCGUGGAUCAGCAUGUCACGGUGAAUACGUUCCCGGGUCUUGUACACACCGCCCGUCACACCAUGGGAGCGGGUUCCGCCAGAAGUAGGUAGCCUAACCGCAAGGGGGGCGCUUACCACGGCGGGGUUCGUGACUGGGGUGAAGUCGGAACAAGGUAGCCGUAGGGGAACCUGCGGCUG
rnacentral:rRNA from 1 species